ensembl:lncRNA
UUGGGAUUGUUGACCUUUAUUACAAUUAUUGCCUUGAACAUGACUGAGAGCCACAAGUACAAGGUGCCAAAUGUGUCCAAGCAAACUGUAAUUGCUAGUUAGUGACAAAAUGGUAUUGGAGGGGUAGUCAGAGAGAGAGAGAGAGAGAGAGAGAGAGAGAGAGAGAGAGAGAGAGAGAGAGAGAGAGAGAAUUAGAAGACUCUUCACCCCAAAAGAAAUGUGAGAAGCAUUCACACAUGUUGCAGAACUAUUCACCCCACACCCUUUCCCUUGGCUCACUUCUGCUGAGCUGUCCAUACCCUUAGACCCCAUCUUUAAAAUAAGACAUUGCAUAACACACAUUACCACAUUACCGCAGCUGCACAAUAUUAAAGACUUUAUAAGGUUUACACUGAAACAAUGAUACACAACUUAAACUCCUGAAUGAACCAAGAAAGAGGUUAAGCAAGACCACUUCUUAAGUAACACAGUAUAUAUUACAGACUAAUGAACAAGUAAAACAACAAGUCAAAACCCUAAGUGGAUACAGUAAGUGAUGAAAGCACUCGAGUCAGGCUGUCCCUGCACAUGUAACAGAAGUCAGAACACCCCCUCAAUGUACAGAAGCUGUAAAAGGCACUAGCAACGGUAAAAGCAGAUGGACUUACUAAUGGACUGUACUUAUAGACAUAGGAUGAAGGUCUUGUUAUGUUUAUGGUAUUACCCUGUAGCCUAAGUGGCAUUGUUCUAGAGUGGACAAGGAAACGAAGCAGUUGACAGUACAGUACUCUUGUGCCAUUGUAACAUUUGGUUAUAAGCAAACGUGCUAUAGAGUUGUUCAUCAUUGAUUGUAAACACAGAAAAAAAUUCCAGCAUUAUCUUUGGCUUUCCUAUUGCACAGUCAUUUGUAACCCACUUUUCAUUGAUAAUAAUAAAAAAUAUAGUCUUCUAUACAUUAUGUUAAAAAUUGCAUUGUGUGUGCAAACAGUAAUGCAGCCUCUUUGCUAGCAUGCCUGACAGUUAACCGGCUAAUGUCAUGUCCACUUUCUCUCUCUUUGUGGUUAUAUGUAAACACACGGAGUUAGCCUAGCAUUAACUGGCAGGCCACCAGAUACAGCUGUUAGCCCCACACAGGUCAGUUAGCCAUGUGGUUGCCCAGUGUCCCGUGACCCAGUGUAAAUCUGUCAAGAAGUUGGGAGAGUGGCCUUCUCCCUCUGCAGAACCAUUUCCAUCUGGUCUAUGUUGCAAAACCAUAACACCGUCAGUGACAGAAGAUAUUGCAAAUUCAUGCAUCAAUUGAUGCAAGCUAUGAAAAAAAAAAAAAAAGUGCAAAAGCACGCACAGGCAAUUGCAUGC